rnacentral:rRNA from 1 species
GACGAACGCUGGCGGCGUGCCUAAUACAUGCAAGUCGAGCGAAGCGGGGACGGGUGAGUAACACGUAAGGAACCUCCGAUAAGCGGGGGACAACAUCCGGAAACGGGUGCUAAACCGCAUAUUAUAGAGGGCCUGCGUGCAUUAGAUCGUGGGGGGGGUAACGGCCUACCAGGAAAUGAUGCAUAGCCGACCUAUAGGGUAAUCGGCCACAUUGGGACUGAGACACGGCCCAAACUCCUACGGGAGGCAGCAGUAGGGAAUCUUCCGCAAUGGGCGCAAGCCUGACGGAGCAACGCCGCGUGAGUGAAGAAGGUUUUCGGAUCGUAAAGCUCUGUUGUAAGAGAAGCGGUAUCUUACCAGAAAGCCACGGCUAACUACGUGCCAGCAGCCGCGGUAAUAC